CAGUCGAGGGGCAGCAUGGUCUUAGCUUGCUAAGGCCGAUGGCGACCGGCGCACGGGUGAGUAACGCGUAUCCAACCUGCCUUACACUCUUGGACAGCCUUCUGAAAGGGAGAUUAAUACAAGAUGUUAUCAUGAGUAAGCAUUUUCGCAUGAUUAAAGGUUUACCGGUGUAAGAUGGGGAUGCGUUCCAUUAGAUAGUAGGCGGGGUAACGGCCCACCUAGUCUUCGAUGGAUAGGGGUUCUGAGAGGAAGGUCCCCCACAUUGGAACUGAGACACGGUCCAAACUCCUACGGGAGGCAGCAGUGAGGAAUAUUGGUCAAUGGACGAGAGUCUGAACCAGCCAAGUAGCGUGAAGGAUGAAGGUUCUAUGGAUUGUAAACUUCUUUUAUACGGGAAUAAACGGAUCCACGUGUGGAUUUUUGCAUGUACCGUAUGAAUAAGGAUCGGCUAACUCCGUGCCAGCAGCCGCGGUAAUACGGAGGAUCCGAGCGUUAUCCGGAUUUAUUGGGUUUAAAGGGAGCGUAGAUGGGUUGUUAAGUCAGUUGUGAAAGUUUGCGGCUCAACCGUAAAAUUGCAAUUGAUACUGGCAGUCUUGAGUACAGUUGAGGUAGGCGGAAUUCGUGGUGUAGCGGUGAAAUGCUUAGAUAUCACGAAGAACUCCGAUUGCGAAGGCAGCUUACUAACCUGUAACUGACAUUGAUGCUCGAAAGUGUGGGUAUCAAACAGGAUUAGAUACCCUGGUAGUCCACACGGUAAACGAUGAAUACUCGCUGUAGGCGAUACACAGUCUGC
rnacentral:rRNA from 1 species